rnacentral:misc_RNA from 1 species
UGGAAUGUUGAGUUCAAGGCGGAACUUGGGGCCAUCAUAAUGGUGAAGAAUUGGUCUGAAAGAGUCUUCUUCCAGUGGAUCGCAUAUCUUCCUAGUCACAAUUCUUACCUGUGCCGGGAAACGAGAUUCGCCAGGAGUUUUCUUGUCUUCCCAGGCAGUUGGAUCAAUGUUUGUUCCUCCAAAGCUUGCAGCCUCAAAGAUUCCAUGGAGUUGG